GCUCGCGGGGCGCGGGGCGCGGGGCUCGGGGGAGGCGCGCUCGGGCUCCUGGCGGCGGCGGCGGCGGCGACAACGCCGAGCAGGGGAACCGAGCGGACAGAGCCGGGCGGGCAGCUGCGGCGGAGCCCAUGCCCCGCGACGGCGGGCGGGCCCGGAGAGACCAGCCCGGGACCCGGGGCAUGUCCCCGGGGCCCCCGUGAGGAGGCGGCGGCGGCGGCGGCCAUGGAGAGCCCGCCGCAGGAGGCGCCGCCCGGGCCGGGCGCCGACGCCGAGGCCGCCCCCGAGGCGCUGCCGCCCAGCCCCGCGUCUCCCCCCGCCGACGGGCGCCUCAAGGCGGCGGCCAAGCGCGUCACGUUCCCGUCGGACGAGGACAUCGUGUCCGGAGCGGUGGAGCCCAAGGACCCCUGGAGACACGCCCAGAAUGUGACUGUGGAUGAGGUCAUCGGUGCCUACAAGCAGGCCUGCCAGAAGCUCAGCUGCAGGCAGAUCCCCAAGCUCCUCCGGCAGCUCCAGGAGUUCACGGACCUCGGGCACCGCCUGGACUGCCUGGACCUGAAAGGCGAGAAGCUAGACUACAAGGCAUGCGAGGCCCUGGAGGAGGUCUUCAAGCGGCUGCAGUUCAGGGUGGUGGAUCUGGAGCAGACGAACCUGGACGAGGAUGGCGCCUCGGCCCUGUUUGACAUGAUCGAGUACUACGAGUCAGCCACCCACCUCAACAUCUCCUUCAACAAGCACAUUGGCACCCGCGGCUGGCAGGCGGCCGCCCACAUGAUGCGCAAGACCAGCUGCCUGCAGUACCUGGACGCCCGCAGCACGCCCCUGCUGGACCACUCGGCGCCCUUCGUGGCGCGCGCCCUGCGCAUCCGCAGCAGCCUGGCCGUGCUGCACCUGGAGAACGCCAGCCUCUCUGGCCGGCCGCUCAUGCUGCUGGCCACAGCCCUGAAGAUGAACAUGAACCUGCGGGAGCUCUACCUGGCGGACAACAAGCUCAAUGGCCUACAGGACUCGGCCCAGCUGGGUAACCUGCUCAAGUUCAACUGCUCCCUGCAGAUUCUGGACCUGAGGAACAACCACGUGCUGGACUCAGGUCUGGCCUACAUCUGCGAGGGUCUGAAGGAACAGAGGAAGGGGCUUGUGACCCUGGUGCUGUGGAGCAACCAGCUCACACACACGGGCAUGGCCUUCCUGGGCAUGACACUGCCACACACGCAGAGCCUUGAGACGCUGAACCUGGGUCACAACCCCAUCGGGAAUGAGGGUGUGCGGAACCUCAAGAACGGCCUCAUCAGCAACCGCAGUGUGCUGCGCCUGGGGCUGGCCUCCACCAAGCUCACGUGCGAGGGUGCGGUGGCUGUGGCCGAGUUCAUCGCAGAGAGCCCCCGCCUGCUGCGCCUGGACCUGCGGGAGAACGAGAUUAAGACGGGCGGGCUCAUGGCGCUGUCGUUGGCCCUCAAGGUGAACCACUCCCUGCUGCGCCUGGACCUGGAUCGCGAGCCCAAGAAGGAGGCGGUGAAGAGCUUCAUCGAGACGCAGAAGGCGCUGCUGGCGGAAAUCCAGAACUGCUGCAAGCGCAACUUCGCGCUGGCUCGGGAGCGGGAGGAGAAGGAGCAGCGGCUGCAGCUGUCGGCCUCCAUGCCCGAGAUCACCGUCACGGAGCCCGGGGAUGAGCCCGCCCCUGCUGCCCCUGUGCAGCAGGAGAACGGAGCGCCGGGGCCUGGCCCCGACUCGGACUCAGACUCAGACUCGGACUCAGACGUGGAGGAGGAUGGGGAGGAGGACAGGGAGCCGGCAGAGGCCCCCUGCCCCGCCCUGGUGCUCCCCACGGACUCUGCAGGGGCUGGGGACAGGAGCCCCCCUGCCAGCCCCUCCUCCCCCACAGAGCAGCGGAUUGUGUCCAGCCCAGGCCGGGGGCACAAAGUGUUUGUGGUGACCCGGGUGGAGAGCCCCCCCGAGAGGCCAGAGCCCCCCACCCCACCCUCCCCACCCACCUCUCCUUGUCCUCCUUUCCCACCCUCUGAGACCCCUGGCACCCAGGACCCAGGGGCCCCUGAGCCCUCACUGCAACUCCCUCAGCCAGGGCCAGCACUGCCCAACGGCCUGAAGCCUGAGUUUGCCCUGGCGCUGCCCCCUGCCCCCUCCCCGGCUCCUGAGACCAAGGUGGGCAGCUGCGGCCUGGAACAUGAACUGAGCUGCUCCAAGAAUGAGAAGGAGCUGGAGGAGCUGCUUCUGGAAGCCAGUCAGGAGGCAGGGCAGGAGGCACUGUGACACUUUAGGUUCCCCUUUUUCCAGUUGGUUGGUCUUCAAGGAGCUGAGACCAGAGCCCUGAGGAUCUGCUCGCCCUAAACCCCAACCUUCCUGAGCCUAGGACGCAGGGGCGUAGGGGGCCUCCCCAGGGGCCCCGCCGCCCCCCCACAGCGACACUACAUGGGGCACUGGAGCUGCAGAGGCCAAGCCUCCCCGUCCUGCUUGGAGCACUUCUUUACAUGUGCCUGGCACUGGAGACUUGGGGUGGAGUGAUAGAGGAAGCAGUGCCAGGGACCCUGGUCCAGGGGGGCCUGCUAGCCGGCCUGCACGGGCAGGCAGACUGGAGGCAGCGGUGGGGGUGGUGGCAGGAGCCCGCAAGGGCAGCCCCGGGCUGGGUGCGGGCGGGCCGGGGUGGGGGAGCCGGGAGUGGAGCAUCAGAGCUUUCUCUUCUUAAGUGCAAUAAAUCUGUCAGGGAGCUGGGGUGGGGAGCAGCCAGGGUUCUGGGGGCCCUGCUGUCCUGGCCACUUGAGGCUGCGCCCUGAGAGGCACUACAACCGGGGGAGGGCAGGGGGUUUGGGAGAGGGCAGGGGAGGGCCCCUCCUGGUGGUGACCUCUGUCUGUCCACACUUUUCUAAUAAACCGGAGCUGGGUUCACCUUGUGCUUGCUCACUCUUUGUGCUGGUCCAGGGGCUGCCUGCAGUGCCCGUGGCAAAGGGGGAGUGGGGUGCUCCCAGUUACAGAGCAUCUGCGGGAGUCGGGCUGUAGCGCAGCGGGUUAAGCGCAGGUGGCGCAAAGCACAAGGACCAGCAUAAGGAUCCCGGUUCGAACCCCGGCUCCCCACCUGCAGGGGAGUCGCUUCACAGGCGGUGAAGCAGGUCUGCAGGUGUCUAUCUUUCUCUCCUCCUCUCUGUCUUCCCCUCCUCUCUCCAUUUCUCUCUGUCCUAUCCAACAACGACAACAACAAUAAUAACUACAACAAUAAAACAACAAGGGCAACAAAAGGGAAUAAAUAAAAUAAAUAUAUAAAAAAAAGAAUUAAAAAUAAUAAUAAAA